AUGAGCAGCGGAGGAUUCGGAUCCACUGGUUCCAUUCCUCCUCGUCAUCUCCAGCUCGCGGCGGCGGCGGCGGCGAUUGGCUUGUGCUCUCUCCGGCGACCGCGCCUCCUUCCCUCCACGGUGACCUCCUUCCGGCGAAGCACUGCCUCUCUCGUAGUCUCAGUUCUCCUCCUACGUUCUACUGGACUUGUGCUGCGAGGGGAGAUCUACCAAUCUGGGCGUGGAUUGGAACAAUACCAUGGAGGUGAGACCAAUGGUUGCUUUGCGUGCUGCCCUAGUUGGUGGGGUAGCAGCAUUUGCGAAGAUUGGUGCGGCGAUGAAAGCUGCAGGAGGUGCGAAGGUUGGUGCAGCGGCUGCAGCAAUGACAGCUGCAGCAACAGCUGCUGUAUCUAGCAAAGACACA
rnacentral:lncRNA from 1 species